GCCUCUGCCUCUCGCUCACCUACUCGCUCGCUCCUCUCCGCGACCUCCUUCUCCUCCGCGCACCUAGGACCGUCCCUCCCAGGUCUAGGCCAGCUCCCGCCCCGCUGGCCGCCGCCGCCGAAGUUGAGGCCCCACCGCUCGAACGAAGGACUCUCUCGUUUCUCACUCGACUCUCUGUACCUCUCUCUCUCGUGCCCUCCCUUCCUCUUUCCUUCUCCCUCCGCCCGGCACCAACCAAGAGGCCGCCGUGACCUAGCCACGUGCCCGCGCCUCGAGGACGAGCCCCUGCGCUUCUAGGUCCCUCCGUGAGCCCACGCUCCGACGCCCAGUUACGUCUCUACCGCGACGAGUACGUUGAAACUUCUUCCGCGGCUCUGCAGUAGAUGUAGGCGUCAAUGUAUCCUGAAGACAGUUACGGGUUGGCUAUUACUUGUCCAAACCCAGGUAGAUAUUGUACGAACUGGCCCGCUAGUGCGCCGGCAGUUCGUGAGAAUAGAUGACCAGUAUUCGAGAAUGGUUGAUUCUACAACAGCCAGCCCACAGGAGAUGAUGACUUCAAAAUGGUGGUAGACCACCACGAACUCUAGUCUCUGCUGUAUGAAAGUAGUCGUCGCCGGUUUAGGGGUCGCGGCGGACACAACAUGUGGGGACAUGGGGAGCUGUAGGUCACGGAGCGCAGACGGGUUGUACUUGUGGAGGAGUUAUCAACUAAAACGAGGUCCUAUCAAGGGAAAUACGCGUACUUGAUUACCCACACAAGUGUUGCAUCUCGUCGAAGAGGAAGGUCAGAGUACAGAAAGAGAAGUCGUCCCUAGUCACUCAUGAUGGCUCGUUUUUACGGGAAGAGAAGCAGUAUAAAGAAGGAAAAGGAAUGAUGAAAACACCGAGGUUUAGAGAACUACCGAGAUACAGACAAGAAAAACAACUGUACCUAAAAUGGGACUUUCAAAGGAAGACUAGAUGUUACAAGACGAUAGAUUUAAGCAGACAUAUAACACUUACUCAUCUGUGACCACGUCUUCGGGUUAACCUACUUUUAUGCCUGAUAUCUCUCCACAUUAAUAAUUAAUUAAAGAACGAAAUUUUCUAUACGUUGAUCGUCUCAAGGAAUAAAAGUAGUUAACCUAAUACUGGUUUCACUUCUUGAAUACACCUGUCAGACCGUCUAAAGUCACCGUUCUAAAAAAAUGUUAAAGUCACCGUCUAAAGUCUUUAAACAUCUCGUGUCCUAAAUGUUCUUGUUCUAUAAGACAGUUCGGUACCUAUAGUUGUUAGUCAGUUCGUUUCUUUAUAAGUACCCUCUAUAUGUCCCUAGGUGUUCUUACACGUAGCAUACAGUGAUGAGUGAUGGGAAAACAGUAACUCGGUGAUAGUGUAAAACCAGUCGUUAGUGAAGUUCGUUAAGAGUCGCGGUAAUCAGUCUUCGAACUUAAAUGUAGACUUGCUUGUUAUGUAGUUCGGUGUCUUCUUUCUCACCAGUAGAGAAAAAGAACCAUGUUUCUACGGUAUGUUCGUAAGUCUGAAGACUUAGCGUGUUCGUCAAACAUAUAUUUACCACACGGUAUAGCAAAAUUGUACCUAUGAAGUUUUCUUAUAGACGGUUCUCACCAGCGACUAGUGAUACUAAUAUCUGAAGAUCAUCGGGAUUUCUCAAACGGAACGCAAACGCAAGUGGACAUCAACAAAAUCGGAAAAUCUUCAUAUACCGCAACGAAUUUGAUACAAAGAAAACCGUUGUUGUAUACUUUACCUCUUUCAAAACAACAAUACCUUUUCAAC
rnacentral:rRNA from 1 species